rnacentral:rRNA from 1 species
CGAAAGCCUGUCUCAGUUCGGAUUGGAGUCUGCAACCCGACUCCAUGAAGCUGGAUUCGCUAGUAAUCGCGCAUCAGCCACGGCGCGGUGAAUACGUUCCCGGGCCUUGUACACACCGCCCGUCAAGCCAUGGAAGCCGGGGGUGCCUGAAGUGCGCUGCCGCAAGGAGCGCCCUAGGGUAAAACCGGUGACUGGGGCUAAGUCGUAACAAGGUAUC